GACGAACGCUGGCGGCGUGCUUAACACAUGCAAGUCGAACGGAAAGGCCCUGCUUUUGUGGGGUGCUCGAGUGGCGAACGGGUGAGUAACACGUGAGUAACCUGCCCUUGACUUUGGGAUAACUUCAGGAAACUGGGGCUAAUACCGGAUAGGAGCUCCUGCUGCAUGGUGGGGGUUGGAAAGUUUCGGCGGUUGGGGAUGGACUCGCGGCUUAUCAGCUUGUUGGUGGGGUAGUGGCUUACCAAGGGUUUGACGGGUAGCCGGCCUGGGAGGGUGACCGGCCACAUUGGUACUGAGAGACGGCCCAGACUCCUACGGGAGGCAGCAGUGGGGAAUAUUGCACAAUGGGCGGAAGCCUGAUGCAGCAACGCCGCGUGCGGGAUGACGGCCUUCGGGUUGUAAACCGCUUUCGCCUGUGACGAAGCGUGAGUGACGGUAAUGGGUAAAGAAGCACCGGCUAACUACGUG
rnacentral:rRNA from 1 species